GCCUGGGUGGCUCAGUUGGUUGAGCAUCUGACUCUGGCUCAGGUGAUGAUCUCACUCACGGGUUCAAGCCCCGCAUCAGGCU